rnacentral:rRNA from 1 species
UACGAAGGGGGCUAGCGUUGUUCGGAAUCACUGGGCGUAAAGGGCGCGUAGGCGGCCGGGACAGUCGGCUGUGAAAGCCCCGGGCUCAACCCCGGAGGUGCAUUCGAUACUGCGCGGCUUGAGGCCGGAAGAGGAUGGUGGAAUACCCAGUGUAGAGGUGAAAUUCGUAGAUAUUGGGUGGAACACCGGUGGCGAAAGCGGCUCUCUGGUCCGGUCCUGACGAUGAGGCGCGAAAGCGUGGGGAGCAAACAGG